rnacentral:lncRNA from 1 species
UUGGUUAAAUUUGUAUACAUCAACUGAAAAUAAAGCUAAAAAAUUUUAGGUUAAUUUUUGCUAUGAAUCAAGAAAAAUCAGGGAACAAACGUGAAACGAUAGAGAUAGAAGUAAAGCGAGGGAGAGAGAGUACUCACAAACUCAAGCUUUGGGUAUGAUUCUCUUGGUCGGGUGAGCUUCUUAUCUGGUCGGUUUUUUGGUCGAUUUGGACUGGCUAUGACUGAGGAACUGCGGGCUAUGACGCCUCGCCGGUGGAUUGCUUUGGAUGAAUCUGGGUUGCUAUGGUAUGGGAUUUUGCUAGAAGAAUUUGGGCAACUGAGCUCAAGGAGUUUGGGUUUUGGGGUUUUGAUGCUGAAUCCUUCUC